rnacentral:rRNA from 2 species
CACUAGCGCGGUGGUCCCACCUGACCCCAUGCCGAACUCAGAAGUGAAACGCCGUAGCGCCGAUGGUAGUGUGGGGUCUCCCCAUGCGAGAGUAGGGAACUGCCAGAC